rnacentral:rRNA from 1 species
AAGCGCUUGCAGCCAGACUUGCCUGUAGUUGCUCAUCCGGGUUUUUACCCGGUGCACUCUUCUAUAGGCAGGCCAGCAUCAGUUUGGGCGGUUGGAUAAAGGUCUCUGUCAUGUACCUCUCUUCGGGGAGAACUUAUAGGGGAGACGACAUGCAACCAGCCUGGACUGAGGUCCGCGCAUCUGCUAGGAUGCUGGCGUAAUGGCUGUAAGC